rnacentral:rRNA from 1 species
UAUCACGGCUCAGGAUGAACGCUGGCGGCAUGCCUAAGACAUGCAAGUCGUAACAAGGUAACCGUAAGUCGUAACAAGGUAACCGUAGAGUUUGAUCCUGGCUCAGACUUUGACUUAAAGGAUGGAGAAUGCCUAACCGGGUAACCGUAUGUCUUAACGGGGUACCGUGAAAUUUGAUCACGGGGUAAGAUAAGACUUAGCUCGGGAACCAUAUAAUUUGAUCCUGGGUCACAUAAAUCCUAACAAGGGAACCCUAAGACUUAGCUCGGGAACCAUGAAAUUUGAUCAUGGUUCAUGAAAAAUAAUCUGAAGUCUACGACAAGUUUCUACAGCCUAUGCGAGG